UACGUAGGAGGCGAGCGUUGUCCGGAAUUACUGGGCGUAAAGAGCGCGCAGGCGGUCGUUCAAGUCGAGUGUGAAAGCCCCCGGCUCAACUGGGGAGGGUCAUUCGAUACUGAUCGACUCGAAGGCAGGAGAGGGUAGUGGAAUUCCCGGUGUAGUGGUGAAAUGCGUAGAUAUCGGGAGGACACCAGUGGCGAAGGCGACUACCUGGCCUGUUCUUGACGCUGAGGCGCGAAAGCUAGGGGAGCAAACGGG
rnacentral:rRNA from 1 species